AUUGAACGCUGGCGGCAGGCCUAACACAUGCAAGUCGAGCGGAAACGAUGGAAGCUUGCUUCCAGGCGUCGAGCGGCGGACGGGUGAGUAAUGCAUAGGAAUCUGCCCAGUAGUGGGGGAUAGCCCGGGGAAACCCGGAUUAAUACCGCAUACGCCCUACGGGGGAAAGCAGGGGAUCUUCGGACCUUGCGCUAUUGGAUGAGCCUAUGUCGGAUUAGCUAGUUGGUAGGGUAAGAGCCUACCAAGGCAACGAUCCGUAGCUGGUUUGAGAGGAUGAUCAGCCACAUCGGGACUGAGACACGGCCCGAACUCCUACGGGAGGCAGCAGUGGGGAAUAUUGGACAAUGGGGGCAACCCUGAUCCAGCCAUGCCGCGUGUGUGAAGAAGGCUUUCGGGUUGUAAAGCACUUUCAGUGAGGAGGAAAACCUUACGACUAAUACUCGUGAGGCUUGACGUUACUCACAGAAGAAGCACCGGCUAACUCCGUG
rnacentral:rRNA from 1 species